AACGAACGCUGGCGGCAGGCUUAACACAUGCAAGUCGAAGGUGAAGCGGGGCUUCGGCCCCGUGGAAACUGGCGCACGGGUGAGUAACGCGUGGGUAUCUACCUCGGGGUGGGGAAUAACCGCUGGAAACGGCGGCUAAUACCGCAUACGCCUUCAGAGGGAAAGCUCCGGCGCCCUGAGAGGAGCCCGCGUUGGAUUAGCUUGUUGGUGGGGUAAUUGCCUACCAAGGCUACGAUCUAUAGCUGGUCUGAGAGGAUGAUCAGCCACACUGGGACUGAGACACGGCCCAGACUCCUACGGGAGGCAGCAGUGGGGAAUAUUGGACAAUGGGCGCAAGCCUGAUCCAGCCAUGCCGCGUGAGUGAAGAAGGCCUUAGGGUUGUAAAGCUCUUUCACCUGCGAAGAUGAUGACGGUAGCAGGAGAAGAAGCCCCGGCUAACUCCGUG
rnacentral:rRNA from 1 species